AGACAUUAACUAGAAUCAAUCUCAUUGUCCAAAAUUUUGUUUCCCGAUUUCCUGAUUUGUGAUUACGUCACAAGACUUCUAACUGAACACAUCAAUUAUGUCCUAGUUGGGCCCAACAAUAUAAGUCAACACCAAAUCACUGAGGGGACCAAAGAUAUUGCUUUUCCCGUUAGGGCAACAAGAACGAAUAAACUUUGACUUAUAUUCUUGUAUCAUUUACUCACAAAUCAUACAUGACACUAUGUUUUAUAACAUCAUGUUACUUAUGUGUUUUCACAACAACAAUGACCAACUAACUUGUAAAUUACAACUCAUAUAUCUUCGUUUUAAGAAUAUAAGAUAUUAUCGUCUCGCAGUUACUCAUGAUAUAAUCCAUGAAGUAAUUCUUUGAGCGUGAGNACCCAGAGCCGACAAGAAAAGUUAUGCAGACAGACGCCGGUCCAAACUUGAGUUUCAGGUCGGCGACUUCGUACUCCUGAAGGCCUCUCCUUGGAAAGGAGUGAUUCAAUUCGGGAAGAGGGGCAAGUUGGGGUCCCGGUAUAUUGGGCCUUUUCGUGUGGUUGCGAAAGUAGGCCGGGUNUUAAGAAUAUAAGAUAUUAUCGUCUCGCAGUUACUCAUGAUAUAAUCCAUGAAGUAAUUCUUUGAGCGUGAGUUUAUUCAAC
rnacentral:lncRNA from 1 species